rnacentral:rRNA from 1 species
UACGGAGGAUGCGAGCGUUAUCCGGAUUUAUUGGGUUUAAAGGGUGCGUAGGCGGCUUUUUAAGUCAGCGGUGAAAUUUUGCAGCUUAACUGUAACAGUGCCGUUGAUACUGGGGAGCUAGGAUUUGGUUGCUGUGUGUGGAAUGUGUGGUGUAGCGGUGAAAUGCUUAGAGAUCACACAGAAUAUCGAUUGCGAAGGCAGCUCACAAAGCCAAGAUUGACGCUGAGGCACGAAAGUGUGGGGAUCAAACAGGAUUA